CAACAAAGGCAUAUCGCUAAAUAUGGCGAAACUUUAAAACUGCUUCCGAUUUAUCCUCGUUGCUAUCGGUUUAUAAUAUUGAUUUUAAGUUCUCCGUUUUGUGCUAUUACUCUAGUCAACUUGUGUAAUUUUUAUACGUCUAUAAUGCCUCUAAAGGGCAAUAUCUAUUAUUCCAAUUCAAAUGAGACUUCGACUUCGUGUUCCAAGGAAUUUCUUUGACCCACGUCCACAGGAAAUGUCAACUUUGAAAGGUCAACUUUCAGCUUUUUUGACACAAGAAAUGAUACUACUACAUUAGUAAUGUAACAACAUAUCAGAUACCAACCGAAGAUGGUACUCCUUGAAAUGGUCCUUAUCUUAGUGACACUGAACUCACGUGGUCCAUUCUCAAAGCACUAUCACUACUGAACACAAUAUACGUUGUAGUGUGGUAUGAACGCGAACUGCGGUGCCUUCGCUAACUGCGAGUCACCGGCCGUGGCUCGGACGCAUGCAACCAAAGGUUUCGACAUCAGCGAGAGGGGAAACCAGCCGACUGCUUCGAUUCGUCUCCUUCCCACUUGCGAAUGUUUCCGCACGUGCUUGAGACCGACGCUGCAUCAGCUGCAGCAUGCGGUCGACCUUCUAGUUCAGCUUUAUUGCUAAUUUAGUCUUCUUUUGCAACAUGUUGCAAAUUUCCUCUUUGCGACAUGAACGCUUUGUUGUGUGCACUUCGAGAUAUUCGAUUUAACAUUACGGAUUUAUUCGUACGCGAAAACAGUUAUCGUAUUUGUUGAUAUGGUAUUAUUUAAUUUUUGUUUUAUAUAUGUUAACUUAUCUCUAAAAGUCAUAAAGUCAGUUUUGUUUUUCUAUUUUACAUGUAUCGGCGAGUGUUGAUAAGGCAAUGUCGAGUGCAGAGGCAAAUUGCUGAUCGGUGCUGUGCUUAAAACUUUGUUUGAAGGACAAUGUUCAUCAUAGCACCAUAGAAAUUGCGAGGAUACUUUAUUGUAGUCUGGUUUUGGAACAGGGAAAAAUUGAACUUUUUAUUAUGUAGAUGGGCGAACGAGCUCACGAUCCACAUGGCAUAAAAUAAUAACCGGAGCUAUGAGGCAUGAGGUCGAAGCCUCAAUUAUAUUGCGUACUAGUUGUCUCACCCAUCAAACUACCUCCUGUUACCAGAAAACACUGUUGAUGUUACCGUGUACAAACCUUCGAAUAAACAGACAAAUAGUAUAAUUACUUAUUAGGACUUAUUAAAUGUGUAUGAUGAGGAGCUAUUGAUAUUAUAAGCUGGUGGUUAACAACAUAAAA